rnacentral:piRNA from 1 species
UGAUAGCUGUUUGUUGUUUCAUGCUUGGC